ACGCUGGCGGCAGGCCUAACACAUGCAAGUCGAGCGGUAGAGAGGUGCUUGCACCUCUUGAGAGCGGCGGACGGGUGAGUAAAGCCUAGGAAUCUGCCUGGUAGUGGGGGAUAACGCUCGGAAACGGACGCUAAUACCGCAUACGUCCUACGGGAGAAAGCAGGGGACCUUCGGGCCUUGCGCUAUCAGAUGAGCCUAGGUCGGAUUAGCUAGUUGGUGAGGUAAUGGCUCACCAAGGCGACGAUCCGUAACUGGUCUGAGAGGAUGAUCAGUCACACUGGAACUGAGACACGGUCCAGACUCCUACGGGAGGCAGCAGUGGGGAAUAUUGGACAAUGGGCGAAAGCCUGAUCCAGCCAUGCCGCGUGUGUGAAGAAGGUCUUCGGAUUGUAAAGCACUUUAAGUUGGGAGGAAGGGCAUUAACCUAAUACGUUAGUGUUUUGACGUUACCGACANAAUAAGCACCGGC
rnacentral:rRNA from 1 species